AACUGCGCUCCGGACAAAUGGAUACGGUGAGACGUUGUUCGGAGC
rnacentral:ncRNA from 1 species